CGGGGCCAGAUCGUCGCUCCGGGGUUCUUUGUAUCCCAAGGCGCGGUUAAUCGCCGCGCUCGAUAAGAUUAACUCCCGGAGAGGAAAGUCCGGACACCACAGGGCAGGAUGCCGUGCGAGCUUCACCGCAAGCACGGGCGGCGCGCGUCAAGGCGCGUCGACGGAUCAGUGUCACAGAAAACAAACUACCGUGUCGUCGUAAGGCGGUGCGGAAAAGGUGAAAAGGUGGGGUAAGAGCCCACCGCGCCGGCUGCAAAGUCGGCGGCAGGAUAAACCCCUUCCGGUGCAAGGCAAAAUAGGCGGCUGACCGGCCCGGUUUUAAGCCGCGGGUAUGUCGCACCCACCGUUGUUCAGGUCCUUCGGGUUCUGAGCCAUGGCGGGCAGGUCCUCCUGGCAACAGCGAGGGCUUGAGAUAAAUGACGAUCCACGCGUCGUUCGCGACGCGGAACAGAAUCCGGCUUAUCGGCCCCGGAAC
rnacentral:RNase_P_RNA from 1 species